rnacentral:rRNA from 1 species
CCUACGGGUGGCUGCAGUCGAGAAUUAUUCACAAUGGGGGAAACCCUGAUGGUGCGACGCCGCGUGGGGGAAUGAAGGUCUUCGGAUUGUAAACCCCUGUCAUGUGGGAGCAAAUUAACAAGAUAGUACCACAAGAGGAAGAGACGGCUAACUCUGUGACAGCAGCCGCGUUAAUACAGAGGUCUCACGCGUUGUUCGGAAUCACUGGGCGUAAGGCGUGCGUAGGCUGUUUCGUAAGUCGUGUGUGAAAUGGGCGGGCUCAACCCGCGGACGGCACAUGAUACUGCGAGACUAGAGUAAUGGAGGGGGAACCGGAAUUCUCGGGGUAGCAGUGAAAUGCGUAGAUAUCGAGAGGAACACUCGUGGCGAAGGCGGGUUCCUGGACAUUAACUGACGCUGAGGCACGAAGGCCAGGGGAGCGAAAGGGAUUAGAUACCCGAGUAGUC